CAUGAACCAAAUUCUCUCCUUCUUCUUCAUUCUGUAGUUCAUCUUCUCUUUUCUAGAUUCUUCUGUUAAUCAUCUUUCCAAAAGCAACUCCGUGCAUCAAAAUGCAAGUUCUUUAGGUGCUGCUGCCGGUGGACUUGGAUCCUUGGACUUUCUUAGAAACAAUCAACUGCAUUUUAGUUUCAAGCUUUAUAUUGAAUGCUGCAAUCAAAUCCACAGAUUUUACAGCCUAUGCUUCAGGAGCUUGGAAAGCAAAACCCGCAGCUUUUAAGAUUAAUUCAAUAACACCAGGCAGAAUUCCUUCAGUUAAUAAAUGAAGCUAUUGAUGGCUUUGAAGGAACCACCCAUUGAUGAACCUUGAGUCUCGAGAUCCAAUGUACAAAUUUGAGAGGGAGAUUCAUAAGAUUUUAUAUUGGGGCAUUCUUUGGAACUUGGAGAUUAGCAAUCAGAGUUUCAAUAUCGUUGAUGUUAUGCCUGCAAGUGUGGAGGAUCGAACUGAAGUGAUAACAUCUGCAGAAUUCCACUCUACUCAUUGUAAUUUGUUAGCAUAUAGCAGUUCAAAAGGCUCAAGAUGGCUUAUUGAUUUGUGACAGUCAGCUUUAUGUGUUUCUCAUGCUAAAUUGUACUUGAAGAUACAAGUGAAUCAUGAAACACUUGAUAGUAUUUAAUAAAUAGAUUCUUAUGUUAUUUGUAACAAUUUUUUGGUUUUGAUUAUAGGGGAAGUUACCAUAAUAGGAAAUUUAUAGCCUUUUUGUUCUUAUUUUUUAUAAUUGUGGAUCAUAUGGAGACUUUAAGAUAAUUGUUAUUAGAACAUAAUUAAUGUUAAUAAUUAUAUUUUAAUAA